ACCCUGCGAUAAAGGCUGUACCUUAGGACUUUGGAAAUACAGGAUUUAGGCACCUGCUGUCCCAGACUGUGCCUGACUAUCAACAAGCAGCUUGGCCACGAUGCACAGAUCCCAGAGGUUUCACACAGCAGAUCACCCUGCUGCCCUUUGCAACAAGCUCCCAUCACUGCGCUGAGCACUGGCCACCUACAAGAUCUGGACAAUUCCCCCUGUCAGACAGGGAUGCUCAGUGUGUCCCACUGAUGCUGCCAGGGUGGUGUUGGGGUAAGAAAACUGUAGAGUGACCCAGGAUGGACUGGCAGACUGCAGACACAGAGGGACAUCUGUCCUUUCAGCAGGCUUGCCCUUGGACUGCAUGAGCCUUCUACCGCUGAAGGCUCCAAAUCACCUUCGGAGAUGGGAAAAUGAAGAUGCAACAAGGCUGCAAAAGGGAGUGCCUGGCAUUAACCAUCUCCCUGCAACAGGCAUCCAGAGAACAAGAGAAGUGGGGGAAAAAAUGGAGAAUUUGGGUCACCAAACUAGGUCCCCUGAGACUGCAGGCAACCAGGUAGUGAUGCUUGUUACACAGGGGCCACAAAAGCCACAGAUAACACUGCAGCACCAAGAACAAACUUCAGACUUAUUCUAAGAGCCACAGCCGUGAUGUGCCACAAGGAGAAU